UACGUAGGGUGCGAGCGUUGUCCGGAAUUACUGGGCGUAAAGAGCUCGUAGGUGGUUUGUCGCGUUGUUCGUGAAAUCCCACGGCUUAACUGUGGGCGUGCGGGCGAUACGGGCAGACUGGAGUACUGCAGGGGAGACUGGAAUUCCUGGUGUAGCGGUGAAAUGCGCAGAUAUCAGGAGGAACACCGGUGGCGAAGGCGGGUCUCUGGGCAGUAACUGACGCUGAGGAGCGAAAGCGUGGGGAGCGAACAGG
rnacentral:rRNA from 1 species